rnacentral:lncRNA from 1 species
GUUAAACUAUUUUAAAAGCAAAGAAGAUUCUGCUGCUGUUGGGAACUUAUUUAGGUUUGUUGCUUACAAGAUUUUCAUGCAUAAUAAUUAUUGAGAGUGGCUAUGGAGAACCGGUCUGGUUCAGUAUACUCGCAGUUGAGUGAAGGCGAUAAGGAUGAAGUCGGUUGGAGAUAAGCUACAAAGAUUAUGAUAAGGACUCGAUAGAUUGUGUGUAAUCCUUGUAAAGAAUCUUUAGAGUAUCUUGUAACAAGUAUAUAUGCAUGUAACAUAACCGUCGAAUAUACACAGUUGAGUUCAUCAUAUUCUCUCUUAGUUUACAAUAAUUUCUUGUUUUGGUAAUAACCAUUUUCGAUAGUUUAUCAAUUAUCACUGAGUUAGCAUCACUCAUGUUCUUAUAUUUCCCUUCAGGAGGUAAAGAUUGAUUCUUGGAGGGUGUUUUGUAUUUUUUUGUUACUGAUGUCAGGUGAAACUUCAGAAACAUAAUUACAGAUGUGCAUGGGCUCUCAAUACAAAAACAGGCUACCUUGUGCUUCAAGGAUCCUGCAGACUGAAGGAGUAUAUUUCCCUUCACUCUUGUUAUAUCUCUCCUUGAGAAAUAUAAUAAGAUCCAUCAUCACAUGAUCGGCUAGAUACAUGUUGUUCUUGAGGGUAAGGCCAAAUGAUCUUUCACUGUAAGAUAGUUACAACAGUCCUCUUGAUUGUGCUGUUCUGACCGUUAAAAACAAGGGGUGAGAAACUCUCGUUCCUAAAAUGUUCUACUUAGAGUUGAACAUACAGGUUGUUGGAGAUGCUGUCUUUUUACCGUGUUGGAGAUGCUGUCUUUUUACCGUGGAGGGUUCUAAUCCGAAAGGUGGUCUACUUGGUUGACAUGGGGAUAAGUGUUUUCUGUUGUCUCGGAACUUGAUGAGAUUUCUUGUAAUAGAACUACAGAUCUCAAGAAUCAAAAGUUUCUUCCAAAUUAUCAAAUAAAAAAAAAAGAGUUUUUUAGCUUGUCUCCUCAUUGUUGAUUGCAAGACAUAUAAAGAGACCCUGAUCUAGUUCACGAUCUUGGCUUGAAUAAACA